ACGGAUGCCGCCAUACGCACCACCAGCGUCACCUUCGGCCUCGCCUCCCGAAUCUUGGACGCAAAAAAAUCAAAGAUAUCCUCAUAAUUGCAAAAGGUAAUAGUAUUAUAAUUGCAAUGCUUUAAAAGUCAUGUUAAAAUUGAAUACCUCCAUUCCGGUGAUAGGGCUCUCGGCGUGCCUCCACGCUAUGUCCCCUGCAUAGCUCUCGAACACACAAACCAUGCUAGACCUAACGUAGGGCAUCCCAUCAGCGGCGGCAAACACGCCGUCCAUAUAAUAGGCAUUCCUCGGGCAAUCGUUGAGCGGGUCGAGG
rnacentral:lncRNA from 1 species